rnacentral:rRNA from 1 species
GAUGAACGCUGGCGGCGUGCCUAAUACAUGCAAGUCGAGCGAACGGACGAGAAGCUUGCUUCUCUGAUUUUAGCGGCGGACGGGUGAGUAACACGUGGAUAACCUACCUAUAAGACUGGGAUAACUUCGGGAAACCGGAGCUAAUACCGGAUAAUAUUUUGAACCGCAUGGUUCAAAAGUGAAAGACGGUCUUGCUGUCACUUAUAGAUGGAUCCGCGUUGCAUUAGCUAGUUGGUAAGGUAACGGCUUACCAAGGCAACGAUGGAUAGCCGACCUGAGAGCGAGAUCGGCCAGACUGGAACUGAGACACGGUCGAGACUCCUACGGGAGGCAGCAGUAGGGAAUCUUCCGCAAUGGGCGAAAGCCUGACAGAGCACCGCCGCGUGAGUGAUGAAGGUCUUAGGAUCGUAAAACUCUGUUAGUAGGGAAGUACAUAUGUGUAAGUAACUGUGCACAUCUUGACGGUACCUAAUCAGAAAGCCACGGCUAACUACGUG